GAACCAGUAUUGCAUAGUGGUUUGAGUGUUGGACUGCAACUCUGGAGAGCCCAGGGUUCAAAUCCCUGCUCGGCCA